ACGAGAUGCCCUUCUGAACUGGCGAUACGGACCCUAAGCAAGUCGUAUCUUCCCAGGUCAGAAGGGCAUUCUCGUGUUCCUGCGCCUAUCCACCACCCUCAGCCCAUCGGUGGAUCGAG
rnacentral:sRNA from 1 species